rnacentral:rRNA from 1 species
GCGUCGAGCGGCGGACGGGUGAGUAAUGCUUGGGAAUAUGCCUUUUGGUGGGGGACAACAGUUGGAAACGACUGCUAAUACCGCAUAAUGUUUACGGACCAAAGCGGGGGAUUCUUCGGAACCUCGUGCCAAAAGAUUAGCCCAAGUGAGAUUAGCUAGUUGGUGGGGUAAUGGCCUACCAAGGCGACGAUCUCUAGCUGGUUUGAGAGGAUGAUCAGCCACACUGGGACUGAGACACGGCCCAGACUCCUACGGGAGGCAGCAGUGGGGAAUAUUGCACAAUGGGGGAAACCCUGAUGCAGCCAUGCCGCGUGUGUGAAGAAGGCCUUCGGGUUGUAAAGCACUUUCAGUCGUGAGGAAAGGGGUGUAGCUAAUAUCUGCAUCCUGUGACGUUAGCGACAGAAGAAGCACCGGCUAACUCCGUGCCAGCAGCCGCGGUAAUACGGAGGGUGCGAGCGUUAAUCGGAAUUACUGGGCGUAAAGCGUGCGUAGGCGGUUUGAUAAGCCAGAUGUGAAAUCCCGGGGCUUAACCUCGGAACUGCAUUUGGAACUGUUUGACUAGAGUACUGUAGAGGGUGGUGGAAUUUCCAGUGUAGCGGUGAAAUGCGUAGAGAUUGGAAGGAACAUCAGUGGCGAAGGCGGCCACCUGGACAGAUACUGACGCUGAGGCACGAAAGCGUGGGGAGCGAACAGGAUUAGAUACCCUGGUAGUCCACGCCGUAAACGAUGUCAACUAGCUGUUUGUGUUCUUGAAACGUGAGUAGCGUAGCUAACGCGCUAAGUUGACCGCCUGGGGAGUACGGCCGCAAGGUUAAAACUCAAAUGAAUUGACGGGGGCCCGCACAAGCGGUGGAGCAUGUGG